rnacentral:pre_miRNA from 1 species
AGGAGGAACAACCGCAGUGGCGGCGGCCAGCUUGGAGCCCUAGAGUCAGCUCCCGCAGUAACUCCAGAGCUCUCCGUCUGCAGGGCCUGGAGGCUCCGGGGCGGG